AGUCGGAAUCGGCAAAGGUGAGCCGGGACAGCCUUCUUCCUCCGCCCAGCCGUCACAGUAAUUUGUCGUCAAGUUUGAAAAUGCGUAGAAGCAGGAGAGCUGCCACUGCACCAGAACCAGAUGUGCCCGACGAAGUGUCGGCAC